AUAAGCGGCGGAAACGCCGUCUAAUACCGCGUGACAACCCGAGGGGGCAUCCCCUUGGGUUCAAAGGAGAGAUCCGGUACCGGCUGGGCAUGCGGCGCAUUAGCUAGUUGGCGGGGCAACGGCCCACCAAGGCGACGAUGCGUAGGGGUUCUGAGAGGAAGGUCCCCCACACUGGAACUGAGACACGGUCCAGACUCCUACGGGAGGCAGCAGUGAGGAAUAUUGGUCAAUGGGCGCAAGCCUGAACCAGCCAAGUCGCGUGAGGGAAGACGGCCCUACGGGUUGUAAACCUCUUUUGCCGGGGAGCAAGCCUGAGCACGUGUGCCCAGGCGGAGAGUACCCGGAGAAAAAGCAUCGGCUAACUCCGUGCCAGCAGCCGCGGUAAUACGGAGGAUGCGAGCGUUAUCCGGAUUUAUUGGGUUUAAAGGGUGCGCAGGCGGGCUGUUAAGCCGGCGGUAAAAAUUCAGGGCUCAACCCUGUCGAGCCGUCGGAACUGGCAGUCUUGAGUGGGCGAGAAGUAUGCGGAAUGCGUGGUGUAGCGGUGAAAUGCAUAGAUAUCACGCAGAACGCCGAUUGCGAAGGCAGCAUACCGGCGCCCAACUGACGCUGAGGCACGAAAGCGUGGGGAUCGAACAGGAUUAGAUACCCUGGUAGUCCACGCAGUAAACGAUGAGCAAUGGCUGUCCGGAGCGAGCGAGCUCUGGGUG
rnacentral:rRNA from 1 species